rnacentral:ncRNA from 2 species
UCGAUGAAACAGGGGUGCCGCCCGCGUGCGGGCGGCUGAGAAUCACCCUUCACACCCGAUCAGGAUAAUGCCUGCGUGGGGAGUUUCGCGGUUUUGCCU